GCACAGAUGGUGUAACGGCAACAUCACGGUCUCCAAAACCGUUGUUCGAGGUUCAAAUCCUCGUCUGUGCG
rnacentral:tRNA from 11 species